rnacentral:rRNA from 1 species
GGAGUCUGGACCGUGUCUCAGUUCCAAUGUGGGGGACCUUCCUCUCAGAACCCCUACCCAUCGUCGGUUUGGUGGGCCGUUACCCCGCCAACUGCCUAAUGGGACGCGAGCCAAUCCGAUAGCGAUAAAUCUAUUAAACAAUCUCCAUGCGAAAACUGUUGUUACGGAGUAUUACACGACGUUUCCAUCGACUAUCCUCCUCUAUCGGGCAUGUUGCUCACGCGUUACUCACCCUUUCGCCGGUCGCCGCCAGAGUAUUGCUACUCCGCGAUGCCCCUCGACUUGCAUGUGUUAAGCCUGCCGCUAGCGUUCAUC